CUGCGUUGAUGUCAUUUCUUAGGACACCUUUGGAUUGAUCAUGAAAACAACUAUACGUCCGUCCCCACUGGCGGU